rnacentral:rRNA from 1 species
AGUGACAAGAAAUAACAAUACAGGACCUUUUGGUUUUGUAAUUGGAAUGAGUUAAGUAUAAACCCCUUUACAAGUAUCAAUUGGAGGGCAAGUCUGGUGCCAGCAGCCGCGGUAAUUCCAGCUCCAAUAGCGUAUAUUAAAGUUGUUGCAGUUAAAAAGCUCGUAGUUGGAUUUCUGUUAAUAAUUUAUAUAAAAUAUUUUGAUGAAUAUUUAUAUAAUAUCAACAUAAUUCAUAUUACUAUAUAUUUUAGUAUAUGAAAUUUUACUUUGAGAAAAUUAGGGUGCUUAAAGCAGG